CAGUCGCCACGGUAAUACAGAGGGUGCGAGCGUUAAUCGGAUUUACUGGGCGUAAAGCGUGCGUAGGCGGCUUCUUAAGUCGGAUGUGAAAUCCCUGAGCUUAACUUAGGAAUUGCAUUCGAUACUGGGAAGCUAGAGUAUGGGAGAGGAUGGUAGAAUUCCAGGUGUAGCGGUGAAAUGCGUAGAGAUCUGGAGGAAUACCGAUGGCGAAGGCAGCCAUCUGGCCUAAUACUGACGCUGAGGUACGAAAGCAUGGGGAGCAAACAGGAUUAGAUACUCCAGUAGUCCCUGUCUCUUAUAC
rnacentral:rRNA from 1 species